CAGUAGCCACGGUAAUACGGAGGAUCCAAGCGUUAUCCGGAUUUAUUGGGUUUAAAGGGUGCGUAGGUGGCCUGUUAAGUCAGGGGUGAAAGACGGUAGCUCAACUAUCGCAGUGCCCUUGAUACUGAUGGGCUUGAAUGAACUAGAGGUAGGCGGAAUGUGACAAGUAGCGGUGAAAUGCAUAGAUAUGUCACAGAACACCAAUUGCGAAGGCAGCUUACUAUGGUUUGAUUGACACUGAGGCACGAAAGCGUGGGGAUCAAACAGGAUUAGAUACCCGCGUAGUCCCUGUCUCUUAUAA
rnacentral:rRNA from 1 species